GGGGGGGAACACACACACCAGGACAGAGGUCACUCCCUGAUGCGCCGCUGUCGGUUUGGGACGGGUCGGCCCCCGGGAGGAUCAACGUGGAGACCCCGGCCCCCCCCCCCUCAACGGACUCCUCCUCUCCCCUCUUUCAGAACACAACGCACACAGAUUACAGCAAGGCGCCACAAACAGACCGACACACACAACGACAAAACAAGAUUCUGCUACCAGACUGCGGUCACUUGCGGUACUUUCUCUCGGACGGACACAGACAUACGGCACAAAACCCGCCAGAUCUUUUCUUGGCGGGUGGGAACGGGGUCGGGUGUUGGGGGGUAGGGGUCGAAGGUCGUCGGGUGGGGGUCAGGGGGGGUCACAGAGGGGACCGCCGGAGAGAGGAAGUGACACUCAGUUGCAUGACCACUGUGAAACCCGUCAGAUCUUCUCUUCUUUGUAUUGAUGAUAUAUUUUUUCAUGAUGAAAGAAAACGGAAAAAAAAAUACAACAAAACAAAAUCUACAAAACAAAAACAACAAAAACUACGACCAACGGGUUACGACGUCAGCGAGGCUGGGACGCCCGCCGCCGGCGAUGAUGAUGAUGAUGAUGAGGAUGAUGAUGCUAUCCCACGCUCUACCAGAAAGGCGGACAACAUCAAAGGAAUAAAUAACACGCCCUCCUCUCUCUCUUUCUAUCACCGCUCAUGGCGGGUUUUUUCACAAACACGCGCGCUAGCGUUGGAUGUAUGCGUGAGGGGGACCAGCGGGAGCGGGGCGUGAGGAGAGGACUCUGGCUCGGCUCCGGGUCCCAACGGACGCCAAACACAGACUGACCCCCCCCCCCGGCCUACAGGGGUGGGCCAUUAGGGGAACCCCCCUGCACGUGUGUGUGUGUGUGUGUGUUCGGGACCAUCCACCGGAAUAAAAACGCCACACAGCUACACCCACACACACACACACUUGCCGUCACACAGAUACUAACACACACACACACUUGCUGUCAGACAGAUACUAACACACAUACACGCACACACACACACACACUUAUAUUUACACACACACAGUGUGAAAUGAGACAGGUCCUCUGGGAGAAUGGGGAGCAUGCACGUCUCUGAAAAAAAGGAACACAAAGAAAGAGAGAGGGUGGAGGAAAGAGUAGAGAGGAGGAGUGUGUGUAUGCGUGUGUGUGUGUGUGUGCGUCAGGGGACGUAGUCUUCUUUAAUUUGGGAAAGGGAACAUAAUGAUUAAGCACUGAGAGCACAAACUCGACAGCGAGACAUGUGUUUUGCACGCAGGCAUAUAUGGGACGUAAAAAACACACACACCGAUACUAACACACACUCCGACACACACACAACAUACACACAGAGACAAAAUGACGCUAACACACACUGAUACUAACACACAGUACAAAUAUGCAGACAACGCAACAAAACUAAGUUAGAAGUAGCGAUCGGUGGACACACACACAUUGUGCUACACCAAGGUACACACACAAACACACAUUUUGCUAAACCUAGGUACGCACACAAACAGACACACACACACACACACCAUACUCGAGAGAAGAUCUCCCUUGUUUCAGUUUAUUUUUGUAGCAUUUAAAAUGGCCGCGUGUCUCAUUCGUGGGAUGCGGCCCGAGGAAUGUCCAAAAGGAAAAAUGGGAAGAAAAGUAAAAAGGACAAAAACACGGGGGAAAUCCAACAAAAAAAAUCUUGUUUUCUUCUACUCCACUGAUGCUGUGUGUUAAUUGUUCUUGUUCUUCUUCUGGUUCUGCGGUCUGCGUUCUCCGGCUGGCGUGCGAUGCCGGCGGGGUUCCGACGGGGUCAUGUCGGACUGUCGCGAUGCAUUUCGGUUGUAAUGUUUUUGGUUUUUUUUGUAGAGCUGACCGUGUGUCCGUCAGUCAGUUGAAAGUAACCACAGAUGUCAGCGCGAGGAUAAACCACACAAAUAAAGAUUGUCUUUUUUUUGUCUACUGGGAAAAAAAAACACACAAAAACAAUCAAAUCGAGUAAAAAGUCUUGAAUGCCAAUCAUUUAUUUUCCCCCCGUUUGGAUUUGAAUGCAAAUGUGUCUGGUUACGUUUGUGAGUUUUCUGCUCUCAUUUUCUGUAUGUAGGCGCAUGUGUGUGUGUGUGUGUGUGUGUGUGUGUGUGUGUGUUUGCAUGCACGCACGCUAGUGUGUGUAUUUGCACGCACGUCUUUGUGUGUGUGGGUGCGCGCACACCAGACUGUGUUACAGUGUGCCAGGUCAAUUCUCCUCCUCUGGCAUCAGAGAACGGGGGGAGACACACUGAGCUCUGACACUCAAACCAUGAAAUUAUUCAGAUGAAAUCAGCCUGUGAUCUCCAGACCAUUCUUCCAGCAGCGGUGUGACAGCUAAUCCCAAACGCUGACAGCACAAAAAGACCGGAGACAAGCUGGACGGCCGUUUCCUACCUUGUUUCAUCACUUCCUCUGCGGGACAAGCACGGGUCACUCAGCACCGCGUGCAGAAAAGCAACUCAUUACAAUUACUGGAGUGAUGAAGCUCCGAGAACACAUUAUCUUGCUAUAGUACCUACUUUGUUUGAGUGUAAUUAAAUUUUGCUACAUCUUUUUUUACUUUUGUUUAUUUCAAACACAUUUCUAACACGCUUUUCCAUUAUUUUCCUAUUAUAGAUAACCCGCAAGAGAGAGUUAAACUUAAAUUAAAAUGGGGUUGUUCCAAAUCUAAUCACGUUUUGAAUCAUGGUUUAUGUUGGGUUUGAUUUAAAGAACAUUACAUUGUGCGCAAAGGUCAGAAGAAGAGUGUAUAUUCGUGCUCAACCACAGACUCAAGCAAACAUGCCGAUGCCUACUGAAUCAUUCAUCCCGCUCUGGGAAACAUUGGCUGUUCUGUUUUGAUCUGAAGUGGGUGUCUGCGUUGAUUGGUAGGCGUAUCACAGGUAACACGGGAAAUCUGGAUGAUCA
ensembl:lncRNA